rnacentral:rRNA from 1 species
GACGAACGCUGGCGGCGUGGAUUAGGCAUGCAAGUCGAACGGUAGGAUACCUUCGGGUAUCUGAGAGUGGCGAACGGGUGAGUAACACGUAGGUCGAUCUACCCUCAAGGAUUGGGACAACCCAGGGAAACUUGGGCUAAUACCGGAUGAAAGCAGCAGUGAUGUUGUUUGAAAGGUGGCGUAAGCUGCCGUUUGGGGAUGAGCCUGCGCUCUAUUAGUUAGUUGGCGGGGUAAAGGCCCACCAAGGCGAUGAUAGAUAGGCGGCCUUAACGGGUGGUCGCCCACACUGGGAUUGAGAUACGGCCCAGACUCCUACGGGAGGCAGCAGUCGAGAAUAGUCUACAAUGGCCGAAAGGCUGAUAGUGCGACGCCGCGUGAACGAAGAAGCCCUUCGGGGUGUAAAGUUCUUUUAUAUGUGAGCAGUGCUUUCUAUGUGAACAGCAUGGGGAGAGAGAUAUUAGCAUAUGAAUAAGCAACGGCUAACUCCGUG